UAGCUCAGUGCAAAGACCCUGAGUUCAAUCCCUAGUACUGAUAAAAAGAAAAGAAAAAAAAAGGAUUGGUUUCCAGUUCCAAUUAUGGGUAGGUGGUGUAACAUGGUAGGAUCCAGUGUAAGGAAGUAAGGCCACAGGGAAAGUUUCUGGGAGGAAAUAUCUUCUCCCCAGCUCCUGCUUUUGCCCUCUCUCUCUCUCUCUUUCUCCCUCCCCCCGCUCGUUUCCUGCCCACCAAAACCUAAGCAGCCUCCUCUGCAACACAAGGAUCACCAUGAUGUUCUGUCCACCACAGGCCUGAAAGCAAUGGAGCCAGCUCACCAUGGACUGAAACCUCAGAAACUGUGAGCAUCUGUCAUCUCUUUGGCUCUGGUGGCAGCUGUCUUCCCCGGACCCUCAUGAAGAGGAGCACAGACAUAAUCCUGGUGACCGGGUGGUGUGAGAUUAGGCCUUGGCUGCAGUGACAAUACGUCCCAAUCCCAAGAGGACUCAGUGAAGAAUUUAAAUCAUGCCUUUCUCCUUCGUCCUCUCUCUCCGGGUCUUGCUAUGUAAUCCAGGCUGGCCUUGAACUUGUGGUGAUCUGAUCCUCCUGCUUCAGCCUCCCCAGUGCUGGGAUUGCGGACAUGCGCCAGCAUACCUGGAUUCAUUUUAUACUAUUAUUUUGACGAGGUUAAAUUUUUUGAUGUCAGUUAAUUUCAGGAGAAUCAAUGUGAAAUAUAGAUAUCUUAGUGCUGAGUGUGAAUCCAGGGCCUCAUCCACACUAGGCAAAUAUUUUACCACUGGGAGACAUCCUUAGCCCAAUGCAACAUAGAAAUUAAAAAUCCAAAAUAAAAAUGUUACUCUUCCAAAGUUUCUUUUCAUCUCCAGAUUCCUAAUGACAAAAGUCUCCAAAAGAAAGGCAAUUCUGAGAAGUCCAGUCAGCUUCUCCGACAGCUCUGCCUUGUUUGGGUUUUCUGUACCUUUUCUGGGCAACUCUGACCUCAGCACUCAGAGUUCAACAGAUAUUACCUCUGCCCCACAGGGGCCAUUUCACAAAGAUCAGAGAGCAUUGCACAGAGCAAUUAACAGCCCAGGCCGUUGUCCUGUCUGUAGCCCAUGACUCAGCAUGAAUUCAAACUCUUGUUGAUGAUGGUUGUGGGUACUUGUUGUAGUGGGUACUUGUCGGGGUGGCACUGGGGUGGGCUUCGGGGAUGAGUGGAGCAGACGGCCAUUGCAGCUGGCCU